rnacentral:rRNA from 1 species
UACAGAGGUCCCAAGCGUUGUUCGGAUUCAUUGGGCGUAAAGGGUGCGUAGGCGGCGCGGUAAGUCGGGUGUGAAAUCUCGGGGCUUAACUCCGAAACUGCAUUCGAUACUGCCGUGCUUGAGGACUGGAGAGGAGACUGGAAUUUACGGUGUAGCGGUGAAAUGCGUAGAUAUCAUGAGGAAGACCAGUGGCGAAGGCGGGUCUCUGGACAGUUCCUGACACUGAGACACGAAGGCCAGGGGAGCAAACGGG